rnacentral:tRNA from 1 species
GAGGGUGUAGCUUAAUGGUAGAGCACAUGCUAGGAAUGCAUGAGGUUCUGGAUUCAAUCCCUAGUACCUCUA